UUCUUUCUGCGAGCAAAUUGUCGAUACGUUUUUCAGAGAAAUUUUCUUACCGACUGGACUUUUCGAUCCUGACAGUUGGUAACAGCGUUUAGACCUGAAUUUGAUCUCGAUUUGAAUUCAAAUCUCCGUACGCUCUGAACACUGCGGAUAGUCAAGUAACAAAUAUGUCGGGCGAAGAGAGAACAGCGUUCCAGUUGCUCCAAGGAAGUCGCAUCAAUUGCUGCGGAUUCGGCGAUAAUUAAACAUAAAGUAAUUGUAAAAAGGAUACGUUUGCAACUUUGGCGAAAUGCUGGAUGCUGGAUCACGCAUGCACGAUGAGACGCCGCGAGAGGAGCAGCAAAAUGGAGCUGGGGCGCGCAGAUCCGCGAGGUACGUAUGCUGCACGUCACGUCGUACAUUUUACAACGUAUACUUUAUUAAUUGCAAUUACAUGUAUGCGUCUGCACUCCUGCCCCGCAUGCAAAUACUUACACAAAUGCUCCGCGAAAAGGAAUAAAAAGAAAGAAACGAAACGACGCGUUUUUCGCAAUAGCCUCUUUCUCAGCGCGCGCGGCGUAAUACGUAUCUAUGUAUGUAAGUGUGUGUGUGUAUAUAUAUAUAUAUAUGUAUAUGUAUAUAUGUGUGGUGUAUAUAUAUAUAUUAUAUGCACUUUGUCUCAUUUAUUUAAAUAUGUAUAUGCGUGAGAGUCCAUAAGAAAUACUUAAUCGCUACGAGACAUUCAUAAUCUACGUUGUCAUGGUCAUGGUCGAUGUCGCAUUUAAGCACUGAUCGAUCGAUUAUUCCUCUCCUUUUUUUUCUUUUUUUUCUUCAUCUUCGCCUUCUUCUUCUUCUUUUUCUUCUUCAUGCGAUGUGUAACAACUAAUCUAGAUCACAGUCGUUUCCGCUUUGCAGUCGAGUAAAGAGAUGCGAUUGAUGCUUCGAUGAGUGACGGUGGAUGAGAGAAAGAGGGAGAGAGAGAUAGAGAUAGAGAAAGAAAGAGAAAGGGAAAUAGAGACAGACAGCGAGACAGUGUGAUCAUCACCUAUUCGUUCGUUGUGCAAGCAAGAUUUUCUGUUUUUCCUUUUUUGUUCUCUACUUUUUUUAUCGCGAUCCCGGAAACCGACGGUUGCACGAUCGCACGAUUGAAAAUUCGAAAGUUACAACGACGCGUCGCUUUAUUUACAAUGGAACUCAAUCGCGUGCCGCUUUCCUUUCCUUCUUUCUCCUCCCUGCGAGAAAGGACGGAGUUAAUUCGAGGAUUCUAUUCUUCCCCGAGCAACCGACGAAACAAAGAGAAAGGAAUGCAAGAGCAAGUUUCCUUCGUCUCUUCUCAUACGUUUCUCUUCAUUCCUCCUCCCCCUCCCCUUCGCCCUCCCGCCCAGCGGCGCGGUUCAGACAGAAAUAAAAUUCAUUUUAGUUCCGUCUUUCUCUAGCAAGGUAUUCCCCCCUUUCGGUCCUUUCCCUCCGAUAAUGACGAUGCUACGAAAUGAGGAUGCAUGUGUUGCAUGGUAGAUUAUGUCGUUACUAUAUACAGAAAAUGUACACGGUUUCGUACCGCGUUUAAUCCCCGGGACUUUACCGUAUUCUGACGACGAACGAUGAGAGCGAGUGAUUUCUAUUCUUCUUUCGUUUUUCCUUAUCAUCGUGAGAAACGCAUGAUUGGAUGAUACCGAAUAGAAUGCCGAUCAUACAAGCCGAUUAUUGAGAAGGAAAUAAAAAAUAUCAGGAUAUGUGUUGUUUCUUCUUCUUUUUUUUGUAUCUUAUUCUGCUCUUUUUUUGUCGGAUUUUUUAUUAACGAGAGAACAAUAGUUGAAUAGAAGAUAAAUCGACUAGAACACUGGCUAGAGUAAAAAGACCAUCUCUUCGGCUGAAUUGAAGUCACAAUUUGAACGCAAAACGGAGCAAACGUGGACGAUAAAGGGAAGAGAGGAUAGGGGAGAGAAAACACAGGCGCAAAGAGAGAAACAGAAUCGGAGAAGAUAAAGAACGAGAGGACAAGGAGAAAUAAGGCAGGUAGACGGGUAGAGAGAACUGGCGACAGAAGUGUUCGAUCGGUGGAGAAUUAACAUAGUCGGAGCAGCGGAACAGAUAGAUCGAUAGAUCA
rnacentral:lncRNA from 1 species